rnacentral:misc_RNA from 1 species
GCAGGAAUGCAUGAUGUUACAACAUGUCUCGAAGGAGAGACAAAAAUCAUUUCUAUCCACCAUAUUACUAAAGCUGUUUCGGAAAUAUCGAUUACAAUAUUUGCAAAAUAAUAUGUUUCUCGCUAAAAGCACUCCUCUCAAAAACCAAACCAUCACAAACACAAGGGAUAUUAAAAAAAAAAAGAUAAAACAAAAUACGAAAUUAAAUAUCUAAGAAGAAAAAGCACAAGACAAAAAAGAACCACUCAAUGCAUUCACAGAAAUAUACAAAAUACACAACAAUGAAUAUAGGCAGACACCCAAAACCCACAAUUACAACCUCAACAAACCAGUGCUACUCAUGGCCGGCAUCUAUGGUGGUACCUGUUCUCGCCUGUGAUAUCCGAUUAGCAUAUAUGGUCACCAACCGCAGCUGUGUGCUGUUAAGCCCCUCCAAGUAUGGCAAAAAUGCUUUCCCAAGCAUUAUAUAUAUGUCUACCAGGCAGAAAACAACAGUCUUGCGAACAUCUGCACUCUGAUUUCCAAAUGCUUCAAAAAGUGCAGGCAAAAAUGACGGUAACUGGGUCAUUAGCUCCUCUUGUGAAAGACGGCCCACAAGCUUUGUCAAACAGUUUAUGCACGUAACAAGAGUUUUCUCAUCCUCAGUAACCAAUAAAGGGACAACCACCUGCAAUCAGUUAUUGAAUGCAUUACUUCACACAAAAGUUUAAACCCAUUGACAUAGGAUGCACAGCUUUCAUUGAAGAUAUUGCAGGAAUAGGUGCCAUCUCACAAGAUACACAUACAAAAAGUUUCAGAACCACAUACACUUAAACAUUUGAAUGGAUCAUACUGAGACAACAAGAUGCUCAGGCAGUGCUCAGCUUCAUUAGAAACUUUUGGAACAGCAUCCUUCGUAACAUGAAGCAGCUUCUCAAUCACAAUCUCAACGGAAUCUUCCAUUGCAUCUUUCUGGUUUUUAAGCAUUUCAACAAUCAAUGAAAGAGCAAGUUCCUGGAUUAAGGACUCUCUGUCAUCCAACACCUCAAGUACAGCUGUCAAAAUUUGAUUGAAGUACUUGGACCAAACAAAGUGAUCGUUAGCUAUAGAUGCUUCAGUUAACUGCUGAAGAGCUCCUCGCCUACUUGCAGGACUUUCAUCAUUAUCAUUACAAAUCAGGUGAAGAAUUUGGGGAAUGCUAGGACCUGAAUCUGAAAAAGAGUUGAUCUUUACAGCUUCAGGCUUAUGAUGAUUAAGGUCCAAGUCAAGCGAGGCAUCAUUUUCAUGCUGAAUGCCUUCAGCAUCCACCAAAGCUUCAGAACUCAUCAGUCCGUUAAUGUCCAGAUGACGAGUAGACAAACCCUCCAAAUUCAGGCUGUUGUCCACAUUUUCAAGGCAGCCAGCCUGGGGUCCCACAUUCUGUAUGGUAGAAUUGACCAUGUAGGAAAAAUCCCUAGUUUUUGAACUAUGAAUAUCAACAUUAGAACCAUUCUCAAAAUCGUGAUACAAGUUCUCCUGAUUUUCAUCAGAAGCUGCUUGGCCAAUGCUAGUGAUCAGGGUUGAUUCUUGGGUAGAACUCCAUUUCCUGCCACCAUCACCAUCAAUGGAACCAGCAGAAUACCUUCCAAAGAACUGACUCUUUGACACACCAAUAUAUCCUUCCUCUGAAGAUGUUCCAACAACAUCAGAUGGGUCAUAAGAGGACUUCGAGCGCUGUCGCUCUUUCUUGUUCUGUAAAAAGUUCAUUAAGUCGACUUCAAUACGAGGAGUGUACUGUUUAAGGGCUCGUCUCAAUGAAUUCUGUUCUUCAACUGACAAACUAAGAAUGAAAUUUAGGACAGCUGUUGGAUCAUAGUGGGAGUAAACUGAUAUAAUGCAUGUAAUAGCUGCGUCCUUGAGCUUAGUAUUUUUAUCACGGGCUAGAGGAGUCAGCUUAGCUAGCCACAAUUUCAGAAUGCCUAUGUUACCAGAACCUUCAGAAUUCAUUGCAUGUUUGUUAAGGGAACUGAUAGCAAACUCAAUAACAGCCAAUUUGGCCUUCGGUGAUCGUUGUUCAUCUAGUGAACGGAGCAAAGCUGGUAAGAGAGUAUCGACACUGUACGUUUUGCUGACAAUUUCCAGAGUUGUUGAGCAAGGUUGCCUAACUAGUUCCUUGGGAUCAAUUAAUCGAGAAAAAACAUGAGGUAAGAUCCUUUCCAUGUAACUCUCAAAGGGCUUUCGGCAAGAGGGAAUAAUAUCUGCAAGUGUUGAAAGAGCUGCUUGUGCAACUUUAUGAUGAGGAUCAUCCAAGUGCUGGAAAAACAACUUCAUUACCUUCUCGAAGUUCUGGAUCACCUCCUGAAUACCUUUAGGCCCUUGCUGCAGCAAAGACCGGAGAUGAUUAAAAGCAGCAACUCUAGCAUUCCAGUCAGAACUUGGACUAAGUCCCUCACUCAGUGCGUCAGUAAGAGAUGCAGGGCCUUCUACAUAAUUUGACAUCUCCCCAAGUGAAAGUUGGCUGUCAUCAAAACUUCUUCUCCCAGCAGACAUCCGUCCAGUUACAUGCUUUCUUAAAAGUGGCCUCUGAAAGUUGGGAAUGUGACUGUUCUGAGAAUCCCUGAAGUUUACAUCUUUGUAAGACAUAUCUACAUACUGCCUGUCAAUGUGUGGAUUUGCAAAUCGCCUAGCUUCCCUGAUGUCAUUGUUCUCUUCAAUGGAACCUCUUUCUUGGAGUCUUUCAGAAGCCCUCUUAGCUGAGUAUGAUGAAAAUGAUGACAAAGUCUCAGUUGCCACGCUACUUUGACAUGAUAAUUUAGCAGAGUCUUUGGAAGAUUGAAUUUGAGUGAUGAUAUCAGACAAAACUAAGCCACCAUUGCGGUUACCACUUUUACUGAUGCUAGCAGUUGAUUCUAAAGUUAGAGAGUUUGUGAGAUGAUUAGAAGCUGGAACAGUAGCCGGGAAUGGUGGAUCACGAGAUGAUGGAGGGUCAACUCCUAGAUCCAAACUAGAUGACCGAAGAGCUGAAGGAUUCUGUUUGUCUGAUACUUCCAAACCUCUAAGCAUGCUUUCAAUUGCAGUGACCUUCUGUUUACUUGCAUGCAGUACACUCUCCAGACUACGUUCAGUACCUUUACCUAGGGUCUUUGCUUCAGACAUGAGGCCAGAAGAGAGAGACAUUCCAGAGGACAAGCUUGAAGUUCUAUCUAUUGCAACAAUUGCAGAAGUUCCAUAUCCAGGUAAAUUCCGAGUAGAUGCUUGAGAGGCAAAUGACAAUUGUGCACUUCUAUCUCGGAGGGAAGGAGAAGCAUGUCGCCUAUGCAAGCCCCCAUCCUCUUCAUUAAUAAUCCGUUGAAUUACAGGAUCAAAACAUGAAAAUAAGCGGCGGGAACGGUCCGGCCAAGUUUUUGCAAACAUUCUAUGGCACAUUCUUGCAGUUGAUCGCACCUCGCUCAUUGCAUCUGCAACACAACACCUUAUCAGAUCUUCAUAAAGAUCAGCUGACCGCUGUAUUUCUGGAGCAUCAGCCCAGUAUUCUAGUAUCAGCAGCGCAUAUUCACAACAUCUUGCACGAAGUACUGCACUUUUAUCAUUCUUUGCACAAUCAGCUAUGCGAGGAAGCACACGGGCAACUUUGCAGUUGCGUAACAUCGUUUUUAUGCAGUUAUCUGCAGACUCUGCAAUUACAAGUACAGUAAUUACAACCAGCUUGAAAAGGACAGGAAUAAACAUCUCAGCACACGCCUCAAAAUCUCCCAAGAGUUCCUUCGAUAAAAAGCAUAACAGAUGGCAAGCCUGCUUCACUAUGCUAGACCUUCGAUCAGAUAACUGUGUACUUAGAGGGCCAACAAGUUGCUUUAGAAGUCCCCGAAAACAUGAGUAAUCAGCAGCACGUCCUAAAACAAGACCCUCAACUCUCUGCAUGGCAGCUAUUCGUAUGGACCAAUCCUUUUCUGGAAUAAGGGUAGAAGCAAUCUUCUCAAUUUCCCUGAUUAGCUCCUUUUCUGAGUAAACCUUAAUUGGCUCAAUGGGUUUCUCUGUAACAUCACUUUCUCCUCCAAAAAGAGACAUCUCCCUUGCAGAACUCUUGGCCUUUGGACUACUUUUCUUGGGGUUAAGGGUAAUAGGCUUCAUCUCUCCAAUAGCAAAAUUACCCGUUGGUCCAUCUGAAGGGCGUAUUUGUGGUUCAAUCUUCUCUAGUCUAGCAUUAAUAUCUUUCAUCUGCAUUCAUAUAUUGUACUACAAAAAUUUUAAAAAUAAAGUAAUAAUAACUUCUUAUAUGUGAAGCAACACUAGAAUACUAACCAAUCUAGAGAUUGAAUUUCAUGCAAUACAACAUUCAUCUUAAACCGUGGCAGACUCAAGAAUCAACACUAAACUAGCCUACAAUAGCAAAUUCAAAGAAUAUGGAAAAGAGAACUCUAAAUAGGAACAGUUAUACUAUUAUUUUGACAUUCACCAUAGACAUAGGAAGAUGAUGACGGUGAAGCUCAUCACGGAAUUGAGGCCCUGCCUGUGUAUACAUAUCCUCAAUGCACAAUAUAGCAGCUUCCCUCACACCAGGAUUUGGGUCAUUCAAAAUCUGCAAAAUAGGCGGAAGAAUAGCCCGUUGAAGAGGAAGCUCAGUAGCUGCAAAAAGACCGAUUGCUGAUGUGACAGUCCUAGCAAAUUCUUCACGAACCCUCCAGCUUUUAUGUGUCCAGGCAUAAGAGCCUGCUCUCUCAACAACUAUUGUUGGUGAAGAAACCUCCAUGAGAGUGAGUAAGAGCCGUCUGGCAGCGUCUCUAACUGGUUGUUUAGCAUCGCCUAACCGCUCAACGACGGCGGGGACAAGCGCAUUGAAAUGCAACUUCAAAUGCUCACCGGACAACACAGCAGCCGAAGCCAAAGCCUGCAAAGCACCUUGAGAAACCUUGAAAUUAUUAUCUUUCAAAAGAUCCAAGCAGCAAUCGACUAAAGAAGUGGUUUCCGCGGAACUCAAACUCUUCCUAUAAGCUUCUAGAAACUGGUGCAACCUCUCCACACCGGCCAUACGCUCCUUGGUGUCCUUGGCACGCACCAGUUCCAGCACCUCCUCCAUUGAAGAAACUAACAGUGAACAGAGGGUUUUGCGCUUGGAUCUGGUGCGACAGGGCUCAGAUCUGACAACAACGGACUGAGAUUGUGAAGAAUUAGAGCAGAGAGAAGCGAAAUGCUAGUGGCUUAAUCAGGAUUAGGAAAUAAUUUGGAUUAAGAGCGAAGUGAAGUGAGAACGAGAGAGAUUUAGCGGAGAAGUGCCGUUAAAUCUAAAUUUAGAGGAGAAAAGCCAGUGUUUAGAGAGAGAGAGAGAGAG